rnacentral:rRNA from 1 species
AACGAAUGCUGGCGGCAUGCCUAACACAUGCAAGUCGAACGAGACCUUCGGGUCUAGUGGCGCACGGGUGCGUAACGCGUGGGAACCUGCCCUUAGGUUCGGAAUAACUCCCCGAAAGGGGUGCUAAUACCGGAUAAUGUCUUCGGACCAAAGAUUUAUCGCCUUUGGAUGGGCCCGCGUUGGAUUAGCUAGUUGGUAGGGUAAAAGCCUACCAAGGCGACGAUCCAUAGCUGGUCUGAGAGGAUGAUCAGCCACACUGGGACUGAGACACGGCCCAGACUCCUACGGGAGGCAGCAGUGGGGAAUAUUGGACAAUGGGCGAAAGCCUGAUCCAGCAAUGCCGCAUGAGUGAUGAAGGCCUUAGGGUUGUAAAGCUCUUUUACCCGGGAUGAUAAUGACAGUACCGGGAGAAUAAGCUCCGGCUAACUCCGUG